rnacentral:ribozyme from 1 species
UGCCCAGCAACUCCUAUCCCUACCUCCUCGUGGUACUGGCCGAGGUACGAGCAACCUUAGGGAAGAUCGGGUAAUCAACCCCGGAGAGGACUUAAGUCGUAUGCUGGCAGGGAAAG